AAUUCAUGCUGGGGACAUCUCCUGAGCAUGUCUUGAACCUUUCUCAUGCUUCAUAUAAUCACUCUGUAUCCACCUAUAAAAACAUAGUAAUAUAAUUAUGCAACU